GACGAACGCUGGCGGCGUGCUUAACACAUGCAAGUCGAACGGAAAGGCCCUGCUUUUGUGGGGUGCUCGAGUGGCGAACGGGUGAGUAACACGUGAGUAACCUGCCCUUGACUUUGGGAUAACUUCAGGAAACUGGGGCUAAUACCGGAUAGGAGCUCCUGCUGCAUGGUGGGGGUUGGAAAGUUUCGGCGGUUGGGGAUGGACUCGCGGCUUAUCAGCUUGUUGGUGGGGUAGUGGCUUACCAAGGCUUUGACGGGUAGCCGGCCUGAGAGGGUGACCGGCCACAUUGGGACUGAGAUACGGCCCAGACUCCUACGGGAGGCAGCAGUGGGGAAUAUUGCACAAUGGGCGGAAGCCUGAUGCAGCAACGCCGCGUGCGGGAUGACGGCCUUCGGGUUGUAAACCGCUUUCGCCUGUGACGAAGCGUGAGUGACGGUAAUGGGUAAAGAAGCACCGGCUAACUACGUGCCAGCAGCCGCGGUGAUACGUAGGGUGCGAGCGUUGUCCGGAUUUAUUGGGCGUAAAGGGCUCGUAGGUGGUUGAUCGCGUCGGAAGUGUAAUCUUGGGGCUUAACCCUGAGCGUGCUUUCGAUACGGGUUGACUUGAGGAAGGUAGGGGAGAAGGAAUUCCUGGUGGAGCGGUGGAAUGCGCAGAUAUCAGGAGGAACACCAGUGGCGAAGGCGGUUCUCUGGGCCUUUCCUGACGCUGAGGAGCGAAAGCGUGGGGAGCGAACAGGCUUAGAUACCCUGGUAGUCCACGCUGUAAACGGUGGGUACUAGGUGUGGGGUCCAUUCCACGGGUUCCGUGCCGUAGCUAACGCUUUAAGUACCCCGCCUGGGGAGUACGGCCGCAAGGCUAAAACUCAAAGGAAUUGACGGGGCCCCGCACAAGCGGCGGAGCAUGCGGAUUAAUUCGAUGCAACGCGUAGAACCUUACCUGGGUUUGACAUGGAUCGGGAGCGCUCAGAGAUGGGUGUGCCUCUUUUGGGGUCGGUUCACAGGUGGUGCAUGGCUGUCGUCAGCUCGUGUCGUGAGAUGUUGGGUUAAGUCCCGCAACGAGCGCAACCCUUGUUCACUGUUGCCAGCACGUUAUGGUGGGGACUCAGUGGAGACCGCCGGGGUCAACUCGGAGGAAGGUGGGGAUGACGUCAAGUCAUCAUGCCCCUUAUGUCCAGGGCUUCACGCAUGCUACAAUGGCUGGUACAGAGAGUGGCGAGCCUGUGAGGGUGAGCGAAUCUCGGAAAGCCGGUCUCAGUUCGGAUUGGGGUCUGCAACUCGACCUCAUGAAGUCGGAGUCGCUAGUAAUCGCAGAUCAGCAACGCUGCGGUGAAUACGUUCCCGGG
rnacentral:rRNA from 1 species